UACGUAGGGUGCGAGCGUUGUCCGGAAUUACUGGGCGUAAAGAGCUCGUAGGUGGUUUGUCGCGUUGUUCGUGAAAACUCACAGCUUAACUGUGGGCGUGCGGGCGAUACGGGCAGACUGGAGUACUGCAGGGGAGACUGGAAUUCCUGGUGUAGCGGUGGAAUGCGCAGAUAUCUGGAGGAACACCGGUGGCGAAGGCGGCAUCCUGGACCGGCAUUGACGCUGAGGCGCGAAAGCCAGGGGAGCAAACGGG
rnacentral:rRNA from 1 species